ensembl:lncRNA
UGAACUGAAAUAAUAAAAUACCACCUAGGCCUGUCGGGAGUGUUUCUGUGGGCCGUGGAAAAGUGGCCUUGGGUUUGGAAGAGGAAAGGCCAGCAGGGGCACCACCCAUCCCUUCCUACUCGGGUCUUACGGGAAACUUUAAGAAAGAUUUAACGGUGUAUACUUUGAUCACAUGGAACACACAUUAAAGGUUUCGGCUUUGCCCAGUCGCUGGGAAUUGUUUUUGGCAUUGUAACGUUUCUGCAAACCAAGGAUAUGUUGAAUGUGGUAGUUGUUGCAGCCAGAACAAACAGUAUACGUUGAAAGACCACUAAAGACAGCUGUUUGACCCAGCAAACCGCUGCGUGCGACCCGGAUGAACCUAAAAGAGUAGCAUUGUUGUACUUGUUGCUCAACAUUACGUUGGAAAGUUCACUGGAUGUAGUUAUAUACUGUUCUGCUAGGUUGUUCUGCUACAUUGAUUUGGUCCAUUUUUACUUUAUUUUAACCCCAAAUAUAUUUUUUUCUGUCCAUGAUCAAGUUUUAUCGUACAUUUUGUACACCAAUCUUCUCAUGUUAUCCACAUGGCAUGGUUGGUUUCCGCGAGCAUAAUCUAAGGCUGUUAUGAAAUCAACUUAAUGAACUAUUUUUUUUAGCAAAUAAGCAUUGGUUAUAUCCCAGGUUUUGCAGAAACAAGCUACGGCAACAAAAACACGUUUGUCAAUUGGGGCAUUUCUAGGCAUUUCUAGACAAUAAAUACUACAGAAAUGAUUAAAAAAAAUAUUUUUCUUUUAUAAUUUUUCUAGAAAGUCAUUAAAACAAAAUGAUCCCCAUCACAUAAAAGUGAAAUAACCUCAUCUUCUGUACAAGAUUGAAUGAAGGCCAAAACUAAUAACAAUUACAGUUAAUUUCUCCGGGCAGGAAGCUUCCAUAAAGCCCCAUCUUGAUCCUCAUUAGCCUGUUGGAAGUGUUGCUUCAAAGGACAGAGCCCUUUAUUUGACUCAAUCCUCUCGUUGCUGUCUGCAAACGUUAUGAGUGUCACAUUACCUUCAAACUGAUGGAUGGCAUCCUCGUCCAUCCAGAGCUGCUGCUCCAUUAUGACGCCGUGCCUUGGCUUUGACUGAUUGCCAAUGGACUCAAAGUGGAAGUGAUUGAUGAGAACGUGUAGUUUACCGGCCAUGUAGCUAUUUAUGUGAUCAUAUUCCUAACCUUUUAUAUCAGCACUGCGAUGCGUCUAUCACUUGGGAGACAUAUUACGUGACACGACGUCCAGUCUGUGCCGGUUGUCUUGAUAUCUACAUCCUGCUCUUCACUUCUCCGUCCCAGAGUGGUUGGUAUUAGUCAUCAGUACGCGGUGCACGUGAACUCCACAAUGUUGAACCAGGUGUGUUGACAUGGCCGCAUGCCUCUUGAAACAUCCCACAAAAUCUGGCCCUGCCCAAAGAAAAUAUGCUGACAACAUCAGUACAAAAACCGUAUAUACAACAAACAGGUCUUUGUAACAAUAAACUAUAAGCAAAGAUCCAAAGCCCCAACUGUCACACACUCACACACACACACACACACACACACACACACACACAGAACUUACUUCAGCCAAUCACACCCUUGUUUGACAAGGGUGAUCCAGACAAGACAUUAAUGACGUUUUUUAGGAGUGAUCACAUCACCUGAUUUUCUGUGAUUGGUUAAUUCCUGCUGUGUGGCUUUCAACAAAAGAAAUCCUUGUUGGCACACAAUGAUAUUUCAAACAAUAGUUUGGUUUCGGUUGGCUCACACUCCAGCAGCCCCCGCCCAUUUUUUGUCCAAGGUGCGUAACAUUUGCCCAGCACAUCAGUGUCCAUUCAUACAUUUUAUAAUUAUAAUGCUUUUUUAUCUGUAAAAUGAGCAUCCCGACAGGUUUUUGUUAGAACAAGUGGUGAAUCAGUUCUGAGGUCUGUACAAAAACCACAAGCUUGUUUAUUUCAAUGGUUGGUGAGGCCUGUUAAUUAUAGCCUCAGUUUUUUUUGCAUGAUGUGGAUAGCCACAUGGUAAUUUAAGAAUUCUUAAUUUAUUAUUAGCUACAGGAUAUGCUAACAGCAAAAGUCAUUUCCACUGUAAAAACUAUUAUUUCUUAACAGUCAAUUAUAUAUUCAUACUCACACAAUGUGGGUGUAGUGUUUGCAAGUCUACAUAGUUUUGUAUUAACAUUUAACUCAGAUUGGGAUAAUGCUGGAGUGAAAUCUUUUGAUAUUUAAAAAUGAAGAUAUCCAUUGAUUUUCUUUGAUAGCUCCUUUUCUAAGAAAAUCAACGUGUGAAAUCAUUCCAAGUCCAUAUAUUCCACUAAUAUGUAUGUAGAAAAUGAUGUUCAAAUUGCAAACAAUUCAUUUAAGUUCCACAAUGAAUCCUGUGGUGAUGUUUUGGUAUCAUCAAAUGUUAAAGUACAGAACUUGGACUUAAAUAGCAUUCACAGAAAAUGUAUAAAUGUAUGGCAACUGGGGAACUAAUGGCCCGGUUCUUGACAUUCAAUACCACAAUAGCACAUUAUACAUUAGAAAGUGGAGUCUAAAGCCACUACUGUUGCACACCCAGUGCUUAUCUAUGAUCAGUGGCCUGGUGAUCACAUCUCGUCUCUCAUCUGUCACUUAAAGGCACUGUUCAUGCAACAUGUGAUGCACCAUGUCACUCGUCCAAAUGGCAAGUAACUCAAUUUUCCUGCAGAUGGUUGGAGAGAAGGAAAGAGGGAGAAAACAGGCUGAGGAGAUGUGUAGUUUUUGGCAAGAGAGGCAAUGAUUCACAUUUUGAGGAAAUGUUGAAGGGUAAUUUCUCCCCAUCGGCUGUAUUUUUGUCAGAGAUUUAGUGCAUGGUAAUAGCUAAACAUUAAGCACUUUUCUUUGUGGUUCACCCUAGCUAGAUUUUAGAAUAUCUUAUGGAGAUGGAACUGUAAUAAUGUGGUGUUUCAGCAGAAGAAAGCAGAGUUUUAGUAGUCCUUUCUUACCUGAAUAUAUUAUAGAUUAUUUUCUACCAUUGGUGUGAAUCCCUCACAUUGCAACCAUGCUGUGGGACUUUGCUAUCACCUAGUGGCCACCUAGAAGCAUAUCUCCCAAAAAUAUAUAUGGCAAUGAUAUAGUCUCAUGAGCAAAUAUUUCCUUACUAUCGAUGUAUUAGAUUUUAUUUUAGUGACCAAUUGUUUGAGUUACAGCUUACAAACUGCUUUCCCACGAAUACAUGUCUGGGAUUGCUAAAUCGUAAUUUAACCAAGCUAAGCCCUUAUUGACAUUGGCAGCUAUCAUUACAACACACUUAAUCGCAGAAGUCCAGUGUGUUAACACUGUGUACACUUCAACUCGCCUAAGCGUCUGCAGAAAAAGGUGGAGGCGGCAGCGGAAUACGAGGAGACUUGUUGCACUCCAAGCCUGAGCUCCAGCAGCAGAUCCGCUCAGAUUGAUGGUCUUCUGGGAUCAGCUGUGCUCCAGGUCUGGCAGCUGGAAAAGGGCUCUUCUGAGAUACCAGCUUAAUAGAGAUAGCAGACUGUCUGGCUCUAUCUGAGCACUACGUUGUAAAGGCCUGAGAUGGAUUGGUGUUGGUGAUAAACAACAGGCAUACGGGUCGUAUCUUUUCCAUAGUUCUCUGCUGACUACGAUGUGUGUCAGUGAUGGAUGUUUAUGAAGCAUGCUGAGGAUGGAGUGGGUAGUACUGGAAGCAGUGGGGUCCUCUGGGGUUUACUCUUUUGAAUGAAGAAUUUGAGGUUCUCCUCAAACCUUUAAUUAACUUAAUUUCCAUAGGACCACUUACCCCAAAAAGUGUCUGUUUUUGUCUAUGGCACGGCUUAUCCAUCACGACUGGUUACAGGAGCCUGCUGAGGUCAGACCUCUCCUCCUGUCCUCAGGGCGAAUCACCAUUUUGAUAGAGCUGGGCCCCUAACUGAGUGCUGUCUGGCAGAUGUGAAGAUUAUAGCAUGUAAAUAACGGAGGAGAGAAUUUGUUUUAUUCUUUCAUUUAUUUCAAACCUUUACAUAGACACAGAGGUCCAAUGCAAAUGCUUUUUGUUGUCCGGGUAGUACUAAAGGCUCCAGUACUGGGAACAUAAAUGAGAGAGAAUGUAACAUAACUACUAUAACAAUCUAAAGCCUUGCUGACCAAUGCACACAAUGUAUUAUUGUAACAUUUAGCAUCCUAGCAUUAGCUAAUUUGCACUAACACAAAGUACAGCAGGGAGAAAAUCCAAAAUGACCAUCUGUUCCUCAAUCUGGCCUUCACAGCUAUAUCUGUCCAGCAUAAUGUCCUUUUAGCAUGUGUUACUUCUUGGCCUUUUAUGUCGUGUGGACGAAUAGCUUCAACAUCAGCUGGUUAACCUGUCAGCCUGUACAGGAAAAUCUUAUCAGCCUGAUUCAAUCCUUUGAAUCUGGCUUGCUGGCACUGCUCCUAUAAGUCUGGGAACGUUUAGGGCUGAGCCACCACCUACUCAUUGAGUGAGGGCUCUCUCGCAGUCACUUUCUCUGUGAAUCCCUAUUUAUGCUGGCUUUGCUCACCAGAAUUAUCCACAAUACGUUGCAAUGUGACAUUAAACAUGGAAGCAUAAACAAGUGUGGCAAGCAGAAUGACAAAUGGCUGUUCAGCCUGGCAAAUGAUAUGUUUUGUCUAAAUUGACCUUAAGGAUUAAAGCAAAUAUUAUGUGACACAGAAUUACUCAUCAAACGUUUAAUUUUAUCAUUGUAUCAGUUUUGACCUAAAUGAGUGAGUAGAUAAUUUGAAAAUAACUUCUAGUCUUGUUUGGAAUGGGUCUAGAAGAUGUACAAAUCAGGGAGUGAAUUUUUUUUUUUUAAUACCCACAACUGUACAGAUAAUUUUUUUGACGUUGUCAUGGCAACGUUAUAUGUUGCAGCACAGUGCGGCCUCGCUCGUGUUUACACCACAUCAAGCCCUUACAGCCUCUCCCACUAGUCAGUAGUAAGUCCCUGAAGGUUCAAGGUCUACGGCCGUAGGGCGACACUGUGUUUGGGACGGACUCUUUCCAAUUCUACUCACAGUGGCCGUAACAUUAGUGAAUCACUACUCGAAUUCUGAGACCGUAGAAUAACUGCCAAUGUUCCACACACUGCACCUGGCGACGUUUCAAAUCUAUAAAUCUUGCAGAGCACAGGAAGGAAUUGCUUUAGGACAAAAUUGAGGAACCAGUGUUGCUACACUGGUAAAAAUAACUUUCUUCAGCCAGAGUAUGUGCCAAUGAUGUGAACCGUGUCAACUCCGACACAACCAAUCUAUUGCACAGCUCUUUAGUUUUUGCAAAUUGUUACAAGAAGCUACUCUCCACAUACUGUCCAAAGGCUUCGACAUCCUCCUCUCCAUCCUCCUCCCUCUCGCCUUCCGUCCUGCUCCACAUCACGCUAAUUACCCCUCAGCAGCGAGACAGUCUUGUGUUUAGUGACAUGCCGAUGCAGGCCCAGUCUGCCUGACUGGUGGCUCUGACAGCCUGUCAAAUGCAUAAUACACAUACACACACACACCAUCUGAGAGCCGGUGUGAUGGAAGAUAGUGGCCUACGACCUGCAAACCCACUCCCAUACUCCAACCAGCCCACCACAACUACUAACCUAUACCCCCUCCACCCCUUGCACCUCACCACACAUGCAUCUAAAUCAGCUCCCCGGCAAUUUGCUGCUGUGCUGCUGUCUCGUUGCCUCGCUCUCUUCGUCUCUCCCUCUCUCUCGCUUUGCUACUAAUGAGGUUCUUAGCCGCUGUCAGUGCAGCCUCGAGAGUCAAAACAAUGUGACCCCAGUGCUGGGAGUCAGCGGGGUUGAGGGUAAUUGUGCGUAUAAAUAUAGCACUCACAACAGUGGUGAUUGGUCAUCAUUUGAUGAAGAGGCGUCUUUUCUUAUGUUUAACUUGUGUGUGUCUCUAUGUGUGAGACGUGAAAUGGAUGUCAGGCAGCAGUGUGUGUAGCUGCCGGGUUCUCCCUGAUUGCUGCCUCGCUGGCUGACAUGUUUCCCUCCACCUGCUGAGACAGGCCCCCGCUAUCAGAGAUGCUGAGGGAUCAUUAGUGCAAGGCCCCCCUUCACACAGUCGCCUGAAAAAAGGCCCUCCUCCCCUCCGUCUCCUCACGCCGCCUGUUGCUCCACUGCCUCUCAUUUUGUUCAGUUUGCCCCCCCAUCUCAUCAUGUUCUCCCUGCUAGUGUUGCCCCCCUGACAACUGUCUUGUAAUAUCCUACAAUCUAGCCACAGCAAUUGUUGGUGAAUUCCACCAGCCGUGGCCAGAUGCCAUGGGACACACUUUUUACCAAAUUCACCGCAGUUAAUUGGUAAUAAGGAGAAGUGUAAAGCUCGGCAACUAAAAGAAUGUACAGCUAACUUAUAGAAGUAAAGCAAGAACAUGGUCCUUAGUAGACCACUGACAGUGACUUACCGUCAUGUUAAAGGUUACUGACUGGUUGGUAAUCUGCAAAAAGAUUUUUGACUUUUUUGCUGAACCUUUCCUUGCUCAUCCAUCCAGGGCUUUGAAGGGCUUUGCAAUAUUUAGCACAUUCUGCAGCUUUUAUUGCAAAGAGAAACAUGGCUGAACUUGUGCAUUGGAUGGUUUCUAAAAUGUAGUGUAGUGUAUAAUUUAACUCUAUAGUCUUCUCACCAAACCCAUGUGCUGAAUUACAGACGUAGUGGCUGCUUAACUAACAGAUGGUGGAAAGGAAUGAAUGUGAAUUUGUUUGUUGCAAUCACAUUGCAAAAUAUAUUUUUUUCAAAAGACAAUUUAUACUGCUUCACUUUAUCUAUAGGCUUAUUAUAGUAAAAUAUCUGCCUUUAGGUGAACCUACAGUCUAAAUCCCUCCCGGUGAUAAUGGUUUAAAUAAUUGUUGCUAAUUAAAGAUAAUAAUAUCUCGGUUUGACAUCAGAAAUACGGUGUUCAUUAAAAGAAAGUCGUUUGAAGAUGGUGAAGGUGAAUAAAAAUGAAUUAGCGUGAAGGAGAUGAGUGGACUCGCUAUCAAGAGGCAGAUAAAGAUUUUAAGUUUGCAUGCUCAUGUUUGUGCAGUUAAUAAAGGGAGAUUCAAGCGUGGACCAAAGCACACUGUGCUCCAUGAAAGCCAGUACAGACGACGGCAUGACCUCAUAAAAGACCAGUUUAACUGUCCAACUAAAGCAAUGAAACUUUCCAUAAACAUUAGUGGGCUCAAGGCAAAGAAAAGAGUCUCAGAAAUUGCUCCAAUACGGCAUGCCAGCAAAAUACAAGUUAGCAAAGCUUGCCACUUAUAAAUCUUCACGCAGUCCCACAAGAUCAUCGCCUAAUGACUGACUGAGCUGAGCAAAUCAUGGCAUAUGGACCGAAGAGGGCUUUAAAGGUUUCUCCCAUUUUAUGAGGGUGAAAUUACAUCAUUCAUCAGCCUCACAUAUGAGGAGGUUACGCUUCUUUGAAACGCUAUCACACGUGAAACUGAAAGAAAUAUCAGACGACAGCACUGUGAGCUUGAGAGAAUAUUACAAAACGCUGUACUUCCCUCAUCACGAUGUUACAACGGUUAUGCAAUUGAUAUUUCACACUUCCUCCAUGACAAAGGAUUAAGCUGGUGUUAAUGCACAAAAUCUGUGAUGAGGAGCAGUUUAUAUAAAACAAUGACAAACAGAUCAAAUUUUUAUUUUCCAACCUGAACAUUUUUAAACAAAACUAAAUGUGAUACAAGGGACUGCUGUCCAUGACAAAUCAAUGAAGAUGGUGUAAAAUCAGAAACAAUACUAAGAUAUGAAUGGCGUAUAUUCUUACCAAAAUAUUAUUGGUUCUAAUACCUAUAAUUUUGUCCCGCUUCCACUUGACUUCCAAUGACUUAUGGCGCUGACUGUCCUGCUCACAUGAGACUUUUUAAAUUUGACCGUUUCUAGCUCCCCCCAAAAAAUAGAUUAAAAGUUAUUGAGCACUCACUUGAUCUGGUACUAAACCAUAAAACAGGGCAAUAAUAUUUAGUGAACAGAUGACUGAACAGAUAAAUACAAUACAUGCGGUAGGAAAUGUUAUCUGCUUUAAAUACUGAUAGAGUUUCACUGGUGGCAAGUCACAAAAUUUGGGGUGAAUUAGGACGGAUGAAAGAAAGACUUUAUGUUCAUAGCCUUUCUAAAUUCUAAAUAUACUUUGCUUCUCAUGAUAUUGUGUCAUUUCUAAUUACCCCCACUGGGUGGCACUGUGUGUUCAGUGAAGUGAAGCAAGAGAUGCAGCAGCAGCACAGUGAAAGGUCAGAGCGCCAAUGUUUAUUAAUAUAGCCACUUCUGCAUCUUGUAUUGGAUUAACUAGUCAUGAUUAGAUGCAGCAAUACGACUCGAAUGGACAACAAUCGGGUCACACAGACCAUCUGUCAACAUACGCGUCAAUUAAGCACUGCUGUUGAUAUUUUCUGCUGGAAAGGAUCCAUAGUCUCUGAGUCCACGUUUCCAUCACUUGGAGACUGUCAGUUUGUCAGCUUGGAAGAUUAAUUAGCCCUCAUGGGGCAUUUCUGUGCCAGUGCAGUGCCAUUCACAGUAUGGAGCACAGCUUCACACGCUUCCAUGUGGAUUUGGCUAUUUGACAUUCACUGAGGCGCAGAGGCCCGGCAGCCCUUCAAGACACGAAAUAUGUAUUGCCACCAGAAUUUGGUGCAUUGGCGGACAAUGGCUAUACCCAGUUCCUCUACGGGGACCACAGGAGGGGGACAUGUGUCUGUCUCUGUAACUCUGUAAUAAACUCAGAUCUCCAUCCAGCUAAAACCGACGUGUAACAGCAGCCUCACAAGCAUACAGUUGUACAGCAGUAAGAGCGGCCCACCUGCUGCUCGGAGACUCGGGUGUGAACUGUUGCACAGAGGACAGGAAGGGACUGUUAGCAAGGUGAGGUGGAUUUGUAUCGGUGCAACAAUUGGGAAAAUGAAAUACUAAGUCGACGUCUAAAAUGAACACAUGCAUGGAUCGUUUUUCGUACACAGUAAGAAAACUGCAAUUUCAAUCAAAUAUUUCCUCCCAGACACCGGUCUCCCAGGCUUAUUUAACCAGCACAGAUUGAUUUCAGUGAGACCAGAUAAAACGUAGAAAACCCAAAACAAGAUGUCUGACCAGUUGUUUGCCUCGCGAAUGACAUUUGUUUGCAUCAGAUACCCGGAAGACAUUUAAAUAGCAAAGAAAAUUGCUAGUAAAUGUCACAAAGAAUUAAGGGGUUUUGAUAGGGCACUGAGAAACGCUGCUUUUUUUCCAUUCUCUGGUAUUUUGUCAUUUUGAUGCCUGAGAGUGAAAUAGAUUUCAUUGAUUCAUCUUCAUGCUGGAUGUUUCCCGACCGCCUCACUCGCAGUAGUGAACCUCAUUGUUGUCUCAGCCAAAUGGGCUUUUUGUGACGACGGACAGAAGACAAAAACUGUCCACUUUGGAACGGCACAAAUAGAGCGGCUUUCCGUACCAGAGGAUUCAUGGUAGUCGAGACUGCCCAUCAAGUAUGUCUCUAACUCACUACUUUAAACCAAGACAAUGACUGACGUCUCUGUGGUUUAUGAGAUUUACAUGUCAUAAACAGUCUCUGACACACCAAAGCUUUAGAUCCAUUAGGGGGCACUAGAUUGUAAUGAAACACCAUGGUAGAAGCUGCCCAACACCUUCAAGUUGAUGUGAGUACCUUUUGUGGUAAAGAAAUAAUACACGAAUACCAGGGGAAUUAAAUUGAAUAUCCCCAAAAAUAUUCCCAUUGUUUCAGGAGCUGACAUUCAUUCACUCUCUUUUUGAGCUCGAUCAGUUGGAGUCUGUUGUUAAGAACAUAUUAAAAUUUGGCACCACUCUCUGCUUGGAAAUUUACAUCUGAGAUAAAAGAAAAAAGAAAGACCCCCGCUGGUUAGAGAUAUUUAAAAGGCUGCACUCUUCCCUGAACAACAGUCCAUUCAGUUGCUAAACCAAAUUAUAUAGAAGGGGGGAUUUGUAAAACACCAUAUUUCCUCUUUCUCAUGGUCAUUAUGCCUCCUACUGAAGGCACAGUGUUACUUGUAAAAUACAUAUCUCGGCUAGUGCAAGCUAUGUGGUCAUUCUUUCAGAUUGCUGUUUGGCAGAUUUGAAGAAAAAAGAAUGAAAAAAAAUGCUCUAACUGCAUUUUAUUUGGAUUUAUUUAAAAGAAGCUUUAAGCAUAAUCAGUUUGUUCGACAUAAGAAAAAAAGAAAGAUAUCUCUAACUAGAGGAAGGCGAAGUGAUCCGGAGCACAAUCCACAGGUAGGAUGUGACCCAUUUGUCUGUGAUGCAUCUUCAUUGAAAUGCAAUCUGACAUCGUUCUGCUUUACACUGCAACCAUUAAAGUGGACUGAGGCUCUGUGAGUAAAUGUCUUCCCCAGACGUCUCAUCAUUAUUCCUACAUUUAUUAAAUUAAGAUGAUUUAUGGCUGGUUUGUGUGGCGCACGGUAUAUUACCUAAAUGACUAUUUAACUGAACACAGGAAUUUCAUUAACUUUUGACCUCCAGAGUACAGAUUGUAUUGCAUCGGUGCGGCCGAGGAAGGAAACUGCUGGACUUGUUCAUGACUUCAGUACAACUUCCUCUUACAAGAAGCUAUUAUUGGAUGAUGUCGUCCAAUAUUUCACACUAUUUAGAUAUAUGAUUAUGACUACGUGCAGCGUCCAAGCCCAUUGGUGCCCACUGAAAACAUACAUCUUUAAUCACUAAAAAGAAGUUUCAUUUUAUUUCUUUAAGUAAUUCAUUCUUAUUCUUAAUUCUUAAGCGAAAAGUAAACAGGGUAUCUGUGACACUGUGUGGACUCCAUCAUAAGCUCUCAGAGGUUGAUGGAGCAGCAGCGACUAAACAAAAGGAUGCAGCUUAGAUCAAAUAGUAGAUCUAUUUGAAAGUUGUCAUGACUUUCAUGUGAUUAUUGUAUAGAUGCUCAGCAGGCUCUGGGUAUUGAAACGCAGAGCAGAAACCUGCGGCCACCAAACAAGACCAGAUCUGGCCAGAUUACAUUUGGAACUCGUCCAAGUCAGCUCCCACGCUGGGUCUCUUUUGUACGGAGCCGGGUGGUUUAGUGAAGACCUGUACAUGCCUACUGAAUAAAGAUAACGUACAGCAGUCAUAGUGAUCAGUGUGGCAGUGUGGCUGAGUGUUUUCAUUUAGCCGUAUGAGCUGACUGGCUUUAUUACAUCAGUUCAUGGCUGAUUUGUAUUUUGUUUUUCAUGUAAUUUGUUGAAAAUAACCAAAAAGUAGAAGGUCACCAGAGAGCAAAUUUGAAAAAUAUAUAUAUGUAUGUAUAUAUAUUGAUAUAAAUGUCUGUUUGACCCAUACAUUGUAUUUUACACUGCAACAAGGUUCGAUCUGUGGAAACGUUGACAUGUUUGCUUCAUGGCAAAAAGGGUUACUGAUUUACGGCAUUGAACAGGAACAGGGCUGUUAGCUUUAAUUAAGCAGGUAACAGUGCACACGCUUCUGCAAAAUGUUUUUUAGGGAUUAGGAUCUCUGUUAUUUAUU